rnacentral:rRNA from 1 species
AUAAGCUUUUGAGGGUGUACGAUGAAUGCCUAGGGACAAGUUGCCGAUGAAGGACGCGUAAGCGGCGAAACGCCCAGGGGAGCUGCACAAAAGUGUUGAUCCUGGGGUGUCCGAAUGGGGAAACCCCAUCAGAGUCAUGUCUGAUGACCCACAGAUGAAUACAUAGUCUGUGUGGAGGGAACCGGGUGAACUGAAACAUCUAAUUAACCCGAGGAAAAGAAAUCGAAUGAGAUUCCGUAAGUAGCGGCGAGCGAAAGCGGAACAGCCCAAACCGACAGGCUUGCCUGUCGGGGUUGUAGGGCCACCACUAAGUCCCUUUUAGAGUGCGGUGACUUGUCACCGCUUUAAACGCUUGGAGUUCGCUCCGGAGUAGGAAAGCGGCAACAAGUUGCCGCACUCUAAAGGGGAUUUAGGAACGAAGAUCGAAAUGGAUUAGCGAAAGAGAAUUGGAACGUUCUGCCGUAGAGGGUGACAGCCCCGUACGCAAAAAUCCUAUUGAAUUCAGGUGGUACCUGAGUAGCGCGCAACACGAGGAACUGCGCGUGAACCCGCCCAGACCACUGGGUAAGGCUAAACACGACUUGUCACCGAUAGUGAAACCAGUACCGUGAGGGAAAGGUGAAAAGCACCCCGGUUAGGGGAGUGAAAUAGUUCCUGAAAUCGUACGACCCGCAAACAGUCAGAGCACCAUGUGCGGAGCAAUCCGUUCAAGUGUGAUGGCGUACCUUUUGCAGAAUGAGCCUGCGAGUUACUAGUCCCGGCAAGGUUAAGCGUUUAAGACGCGGAGCCGGAGGGAAACCGAGUCCGAAUAGGGCGUCAAGUCGGUAUUAGUAGACCCGAAACUGCGUGAUCUAGCCAUGGCCAGGCUGAAGUGUCGGUAACACGACAUGGAGGGCCGAACUCAUAGACGUUGAAAAGUCUCGGGAUGAGCUGUGGUUGGUCCGGUGAAAUGCCAAUCGAACGCAGAGAUAGCUGGUUCUCCCCGAAAUGCAUUUGGGUGCAGCGUCACGUGUUUACAAUAGGGGGUAGAGCACUAAAUGGGCUAGGGGGCCUACCAGCUUACCGAACCCAAUUAAACUCCGAAUACCUAUUGUCUAAGCGUGGCAGUGAGACGGCGAAGGCUAAGCUCCGUCGUCAAAAGGAAAAUAGUCCAGAUCGACAGCUAAGGGCCCUAAACGUGUGCUAAGUGUGAAACGAUGUGAGAUCGCGUAAACAGCCAGGAGGUUGGCUUGGAAGCAGCCACCCUUUAAAAAGUGCGUAACAGCUUACUGGCCGAAUGUGAUCUUGCGCGGACAAUGUAAGGGGGCUAAAGCACACUCCCGAAGCUUCGGGAUCAUCGUAAGAUGAUCGGUAGGGGAGCGUCGUGCGCAGCAGUGAAGCUAUAGCGGAAGCAAUGGUGGAGCGCGUACGAGCGAGAAUGCAGGCAUGAGUAGCGAUAACACAGGUGAGAAUCCUGUGCGCCGAAAACCUAAGGAUUCUCCGGCCAUGUUCGUCAGCCGGAGGUUAGGCGGCACCUAAGGCGAGGCCAGAAGGCGUAGCCGAUGGACAACGGGUCGAAAUUCCCGUCCUUGUUAUGACAGCAAUGGAAGGACGCUUCUCGACGUUCCAUCCCGCACCGUUGGUAGUUGCGGGCUACUGGAAGGCUGGGCCAGAUGAAAGUCUGGCAUAAAGGCUAACCAGGGGCAAGGGAUCCCUUCGGGGUGAACGAACUGGGACAGAGGGGGGCCGAGAAAAUCUCCUCAGCAUAUGUCAUAGCGAGCCGUACUGCAAACCGACACAGGUAGGUGAGUCGAGGAGACUAAGGCGUUCGAGAGAACUCUCGUUAAGGAACUAGGCAAACGAGCCCCGUAAGUUAGCAAUAAGGGGCGCCCUCAGCAAUGAGGGCCGCAGCGAAGCAUCCCAGGCGACUGUUUACCAAAAACACAGGUCUCUGCUAAGACGAAAGUCGAAGUAUAGGGGCUGACGCCUGCCCAAUGCCAGUAGGUUAACAGGAGAUGUUAUCCCUUCGGGGAGAAGCAUUGAAUCGAAGCCCUGGUGAAUGGCGGCCGUAACUAUAACGGUCCUAAGGUAGCGAAAUUCCUUGUCGGCUAAAUACCGACCCGCAUGAAAGGCGUAACGACUUGGGAACUGUCUCAACGAGAAGCUCGGUGAAAAUGUAGCACCCGUGAAGAUGCGGGUUAAACGUAGUAGGACGGAAAGACCCCGUGGAGCUUUACUACACCUUAAGAUUGUGAACUGGGUGUAGAUGUAGAGCGUAGGUGGGAGCUUCGGCACCAAUGGAACACCACCCUUCUGCAUCUGGUUUACUAACCCUUGCCGUAAUCCGGUAAGGAGACAAUCUUAGGCGGGUAGUUUGACUGGGGCGGUCGCCUCCUAAAAGGUAACGGAGGCGCCUAAAGUUGCACUCAGGCUGGUUGGAAAUCAGCCGUUGAGCGUAUAGGUAUAUAGUGCGAUUGACUGUGAGACAAACAAGUCGAGCAGGGACGAAAGUCGAGCUAAGUGACCCUCUAGUGGUGCGUGGGCAUGCUAGGGUUCAUCGGAUAAAAGCUACCCCGGGGAUAACAGGCUGAUCUUGCCCGAGCGCUCACAGCGACGGCAUGGUUUGGCACCUCGAUGUCGGCUCGUCGUAUCCUGGGGCUGAACAAGGUCCCAAGGGUUCCGGAGUUCACGGAUUAAAACGGCACGCGAGCUGGGUUCAGAACGUCGUGAGACAGUUCGGUCCCUAUCCACUACGUUCGUAGGAAAUUUGAGGGGCGUCGCUCUUAGUACGAGAGGACCGGAGUGAACUGACCUCUGGUGUACCUGUUGUUCCGCCAGGAGCAUAUGCAGGGUAGCCACGUCGGGCAGGGAUAAGCGCUGAAAGCAUCUAAGCGCCAAGCCCACCCCAAGAUUAGAUUUCCCAUCGAAAGAGUAAGGCCCCCGGAAGACUACCGGGUUGAUAGGUCGCAAGUGUAAGUGCAGUAAUGUAUUCAGCUAAGCGAUACUAAUUGGCCGAGGGCUUAUAUUG